UAAUGCCUUUUUGUUUUCUAAGGUACAAAGAAGAUGAUAAAAUGUAGUCAUGAAAAGUCAGAUGAAAACACAAGCCUCCAGGAAAGUUCCAGCCAACCAAUUUCACAAUCUUGUUCCAGGAAUGCCUGACCCAGGUAAUAACUUUGAUUCACAACAAAGCCAUUAGAAAAAGGAGCUAUGGAAAUUAUUCUAAUGGACAAUAUAGUUGUUUGAAUUUUUACAUCGGAAACGUCUGAAUCUCCAUCUCCCUAAGGGAGACACUUCGGAGCCAGUCAUACUGAUAAUUGUAGUACUGAAACCUGUGUUGUCCUGCCACGAAACUAUAAAAUGCAAGGUGUUUGGAAGACUAACACAUAAACUAGCCCCAACUGGUCAGGAUGAUUGUUUUCCUAUCUUUUCUCACCAUGUUGUAGUCUAUCAGAAAGAGCUGUUGUCUGCUUCUGGAUAGAAAAAAAGAAGUUUUUUGACAGGCCAUCACAAAACAACUAUUUUAAAAUGAACAGUAGAUUUUAAUCUUAGUAGACUAAGGGUGGCUUUUGUCACACACUUUUGACUACCUAAAUUGAAGGCUUUCAAAAGGAAAACAUUCAAAAGAACCCCCAGUGAGUCAGCAAAGACUUUGAAAAGAUUGUGUAUAUUUUCUAAAGCAUAUUUUUAAAAAAAUCAUGUACAGGGGGAAAGUGUAGAACAUGUACCCACAAGAGCUAAAUUUAAAAAGUGUGCGUACAGUGAACACAUGCGUAGCAUAUGGAUGCGACUGACGGAAGAGGGCCUGGCCUCCAUUCAAGACACCACUCACAGCAGAUGCACCGUCAUAAAUUUGAGCUACACAGCCACAUCCUCGCUGGUCAGGUUCCAGUCAGUUGUCUUUGAAUCCAGUAUGGUUAAUGCACCCUCAAACUCCGGCUUUCGUUUUGGUAGGAGGGAAGAGAAAUUCCUAUGUGAAAAAGCCAAAUUACACAUAUCCCAGACUGAUAAAUAGUCAUUCAUUCCUUACCUCUUGUGAGACUUUGGCAAGUAAAAUCCCUGGCAACUUUUCAUUUCCGCUUUUUAGCCUAACAGAUUUUGCCCAUUGUCUGUCAUCUGAUUCCAGCACACAUCAAGGAUGGACAGUCAGACUUGAUAGGAUUACCACAUUUUCUAGUAUUAAAUCAUAUUUCUCAAAUUAAAAGGCUCUGAAUAUAACAAGUAGUAAGAAAACCCCUCCUACUUUUCCUUUUAUGGUCUCCCCCACCCCAAAAAGUACUACAUUCAUUUAUUUGCUGAUGGGGUUCUUGGGUGUUCACUUAAAAUGGUGACACAGGUGCUGAAACAUUUUUAGCAUAUUUGUGAAAUAUGUAAGUAUUUUACAUUUCAAAUCAAAUAUUUGAAUUAUCUCUCUAUGGACCUAAAGAUGAAGUAGUUUAUUACAGUUUUCUGCAGAUUCAUGCAAUCACUGAGGACUUUGAUGAUGAAAGGUGCAGCGUUCAGCCAGACCAGCAACUGUGAAAAGUACCAUCUCCACAAAUCAAAUAGAUGGUCAUCUUUGGUCCUCACUGGAUGAGUAGAGCAGAUGUUGGUUUCAAAAGAGAAGGGAAAACACUUGGAAAAAAUGGAAGUUUCAUCUCUGGCCUGCCUUACAGCUUCUGGCAUAUUUUUAGAUGCCAACAAGUAAUGUCAAAGAAACAGCUGUUACAAUGAUCCUGCUUAACAGCCAUAAAGGAAUGAAGAUUUCCACAGAGAGCUUUAUCAGUCUCCACGGAGCUGCCAUUUCCCGCUGACUGAGAGACAAGAUGGAGUGCCAGAUUGUCAUUUAGUUUAACUCCAUGGAAAUGAGGCAAGGGAAUCUGACCAUGACUAAACCUUUGCAUCCAGCAAAAGAACACAGGGCAAUCAAGGAAACCUUCUGUUGGCCCUCGGAGGACAGACUGUUGGUAAGUUUGCAAGACGUGUUAGGCUGGCAGAGGGGGAGUCCCGAGGAACACAGAGGUGACAAAAACUCUUAGCAUUCAUUUAUUCAGACCUUUCAUUAAGCCAGAAUCGAAGCACUUCCUUUAUGAAGGCUGCCCUAAAGAUACGACUUUUAUGACCAAGAAAAGGUAAACAGAAAAACAGACCCACCAGCCAGCAGAGGAAUGACUAACCACAAUGCUCAGGAGAGGUCUAGCACAACUCAACUAUUCCAGCUGUCUUCCUGACUUCUGUGUGUGUACAUACAUAUACAUGUACACACACCCCUUUGUCAACCUUAGUUUUGCAAGUCUCUUGUUCAAUUGCUUCUACAGGACUUAGAGGAAAGAGAAAUGAGCAUCAAAAUAAACUUCUUUCUUUCUGUCUUUCUCUCCAGUUCUUAAUUCUUAAAUUGCUUAGUUUAAAUGAAAAAUUUUAAAAGACAAAUUUACU